ACGGGUGCGUAACGCGUGGGAAUCUGCCCUUGGGUUCGGAAUAACAGCGAGAAAUUGCUGCUAAUACCGGAUAAUGACGUAAGUCCAAAGAUUUAUCGCCCAAGGAUGAGCCCGCGUAGGAUUAGCUAGUUGGUGUGGUAAAAGCGCACCAAGGCGACGAUCCUUAGCUGGUCUGAGAGGAUGAUCAGCCACACUGGGACUGAGACACGGCCCAGACUCCUACGGGAGGCAGCAGUGGGGAAUAUUGGACAAUGGGCGAAAGCCUGAUCCAGCAAUGCCGCGUGAGUGAUGAAGGCCUUAGGGUUGUAAAGCUCUUUUACCCGGGAUGAUAAUGACAGUACCGGGAGAAUAAGCUCCGGCUAACUCCGUGCCAGCAGCCGCGGUAAUACGGAGGGAGCUAGCGUUAUUCGGAAUUACUGGGCGUAAAGCGCACGUAGGCGGCUUUGUAAGUUAGAGGUGAAAGCCUGGAGCUCAACUCCAGAAUUGCCUUUAAGACUGCAUCGCUUGAAUCCAGGAGAGGUGAGUGGAAUUCCGAGUGUAGAGGUGAAAUUCGUAGA
rnacentral:rRNA from 4 species